rnacentral:rRNA from 1 species
AUGUCCUUGAAUGCACGUCGCCUCCUCUGGUCGCAGUGCUGCGCCGCCUGCCGCCCGCCCUCACCGGCGUACUGCUCGUCGCCGCCGCCCUCACCGGCGUCCUGCUCAUCGACACCGCCUGCCGCCCUCACCGGCGUCGAUCACCUGCGUUUUCUCGCCUCCGUGGAUGCAGCAGCGUGUGCCCGUGGUUGCAGGCUUGCAGCUUCGGUGGCGACACUCGCAACUCCAGUGCACGACGGCCGUGCUCCGGUGGCGACCAUAUCACCGGUUCCAGCAAAAAACGAGGCCUCUGUUGUCUCGAGCAAAAAAAUGGUCGAGGAAUGUUGGAACCAGCAAGAAGAUUUGCUGGAACCGUACUUGCAUUUUGCUGGAACCGGCCUUCGUCGUCUCCAGCAAAAACACGCCGAGGAUGUUGCAACCAGCUAG